CACGUAGGGCGCAAGCGUUGUCCGGAAUUUAUUGGGCGUAAAGAGCUCGUAGGCGGUCUGUUGCGUCUGCUGUGAAAACUCGGGGCUUAACCCCCGAGCCUGCAGUGGAUACGGGCAGACUAGAGGUAGGUAGGGGAGACUGGAAUUCCUGGUGUAGCGGUGAAAUGCGCAGAUAUCAGGAGGAACACCGGUGGCGAAGGCGGGUCUCUGGGCCGAUACUGACGCUGAGGAGCGAAAGCGUGGGGAGCGAACAGG
rnacentral:rRNA from 1 species